rnacentral:lncRNA from 1 species
UGUGAUCUCCACCUGGCUAUUCAAACGACUACUUUGGAAUUCCUUUUAGGAAUUCCUCAAUCCUUUUAGGGCUGUACUACGGUUACUGUUGUCUAGUCACUAAAUCAUGUCUGACUCUUUUGUGACCCUAUGGACUGUGGCCCGCCAGGAUCCUCUGUCCAUGGGAUUUUACAGGCAAGAAUACUGGACUUAGUUGCCAUUUCUUCUCCAGGUGACCUUCCCACCCCAGGGAUCAAACCCUCAUCACCUGUGUCUCUUGCACUGGCAGGUGGAUCUUUACCAUUGAGCCACCUGGGAAGCCCAGUCCUGCUAACAGGUUGCCUUAGCUCCUUGAUGGCCUCCUCCACAAGCGCCCCUGGACACUUCUUGGGAACUGCAAGGCUCCAGGAAAAAAGAAAGCCUUUAUAAAAUAUGAUGAACAAUCAACACAGAGAGGAGACCUAUGCACUAAUCAAGGCCUACGGAAUUAUACUGAAAACAUAUGCACACACCCCAAUUAACAGAGCAUUGCGCUACAAAGAGUAUGGACAGAAUGUGAUGGUGUCAAUGGGAAGAAAAUCCUCAAAACAAGAACUCAACCAAUUUUAGGGACGUAUAUAAAAUAGACUAAGAACAGAAAGCCCAAACUUCAAUAUUUAGCCCAAGGACCGGUUUCUUCAGUGUUUUCCAAAACUUUUUAUAAGGAAAAGCUAUUAAUUUUUCCUUAAAAGCUUAUAAUCACUGGGGUAGGACUGGCCGCCUGCUUCAUACAGGAAAAGGCAGGGAGAGAAUGAUACUGGGCAAAAACUGGGGAUUAGGUGACACUAAAUGGGAGAAGAUUUAUGAUAGGGCUGCUGAAAACCAGUGUGUAUGCAAAUCACCUGGGAUGCCUGUUAUACUGUAGAUUCUGAGCCAGUGGGCUUGGG